AGGGACACAGCGAAGGCCAGCACAAGCCGCUUGUGUACGGCGAUGUGGCGCUCCGUGGUGCGGGGUCGCACUCCCACUGAGUCUGCCCACGGGUCGGAGAGCCCCCUGCUGCCAGCCCGAAGCGCGGCGUCGUCUUCCCCCAUCGCGGCUGCGAAGGCGGCGGCGUUCGGUCCUCUGGGUGGAAUGUGCUCGCAGCAGCAGUGACGGCGGCCACAGCACGGGAGGCACCCGAGCCAUACACCCUGCAGCUGGAGAGAAAAGGAUGGCCGAGGUGGGAGAGACUAGAGUGAACCAGCAGGAGGAAGUCCCAGGGCCGCGAAGCUACGACGGAGAUCCGUCCUGGAAAAGCCUUCUCCACCCUGGGCACUUUAAGCGGCGGUGGCGGCAAACGGCAGGAGGUUGCAGACCCGACAGCGAGACUCCCUCAUUCCAGUCUUGCUCUGCCCUCCGGAGAUGACAAGUGAGAAAGAAGUGUCCGGCCGGGCCAUCCCCUUCAGGGACCUGGGAGCAACAAUGCCUGAGCAGCAAUGAGCAAGUUUAAUGCCCAGUCUUGAUUUCUAAAUGCUUUCCACUAUAAGAAACAAGAGUUUAUUGAGACUCUGAAAGCAGAACAGGGGAAGAAUAAGGAGCUUUGAACAUGUUGGGCCAGAAGUUACCAAGAAUAACUGUAAAAUGUGCUGGGAAUGCAAUGUCCUGAGAUAAGGAAGAACUGCCUGAAACAGCCUGGAUCUUAUUCCUGUACUUCCUAGGGAAUGUAACAUCUCAAGUUAAAGAGGAACUGCCCGGAACAGCCCGGGGAUUGUUCCUCUCUCCUGAGAAGGAAGAUUACCUCCAAAGCUCAUCCACUGAGUCACACUGCCCCUGUGGUGGAGGGCGGGCUGCCUUUCCAGGUUCCUCAGCUGUGGUGUAACUGAAGCAGGCACAAUCAAGACUCCAUCUGCUCGAGGCAGCUUUCUCGAACCUUGGGGAACCUACUCACAAUGGAUCACAGGCUUCUUUUGUUUUGUUUCUUGCUGCCUAUCUGUAAGUAAUUAACUUGCUUCAUGUAACGUGUUGCAUAUGAGUGUGUUCUGUCUCAUAGACUCAGGGAAUUGGUAACACUGCAGCUGAGGACGCAGUGGACAGAAGUGUUCAGACUCCUGUUCCUUGUGGUUGACACAGUGAUGAUGAUCUCUUCUGUCCUCCACAGAGUGGAAGUCCUCUCUUGGGAUUGGUUAUUGGUGAAACCACUUCGCAAUUUAUUAAGAUGGCAAAAGCUUACGGAGGGACAGAUUUGAGGGGAAGAUCAAGAUUUUUCUGUCAGUAUUGCAAAUAGUCAAGAAUAUGUGGUCCAAGAAGUGAUCAUUAUCUUUGGCAUUGUGCAAGUCAUUAGUGACCUUCACAUGAACAGUCUCAGUGGAGUGUUGGAGGAAAAAGCCUAACUGAAGAAGGUUCAAGAGUGAAUGGAAAAAGAGCAGUAGUAUGUGGAGAGUACAGACAAGUAUUUCCAGGAGCCUUUCUGUAAAGAGUGGUAGAGAAUGGGACAUCAUUUUUGGAUGGGGGAAGAGUUAUUUAUAGCAUGUUCAUAUGCUAAUGGAAGUGAUCUACUCAUGGGGAAAAUCUUGAUGAUGCAAGAAAGAAAGGGAUUUGUUGGAAUCUUGUCCUAUAACGGGUGAGAGGGGAUGGGUUCUAGAAGAAAAGGCAUGGGUCUUUGUUUGAGAUCAGGCAAUUCAUCUGUAGGAACCAGUAGGAAGAUGGUUAAGUGGGUACCUGUGGUAGUGGAUGUUUGUGAACAUUCUUUUCUUUUCCAUUGUUUCUAUUUUCUCAAUAAAGUGGGAAGCAAAAAUCAGCUGAGUGAAGAUGAGGAAGAAGGUGUUAAAGGUUUGAAGAAAAAAGGAAAAGGAUAUACUAAUCUAAGAGGACAAGUAAGUAGAACAUAGAUAAUGAAAAUGCUGGCCCUUAGGACUGUUGGGCCUAAAUGCUCAUAUUAUAUUGGUAGUCACAAAUUUGAACUUUCUCUAGAGCCAAUUUUUGCAUGUGUGUGCAGGCCUGGAGUAGUUGGAGAGUUGGAUUUAAUAGAAUUGAGGGUCAAGCAACUACAACCAGGGAAGAGUGGGACAAGGGAGAUAAAGGAUAUUGGCAGGGGAGCAAUUAUAAACAUGGACCAUGAUCAAAACUGGACAGGAAGGAAAAUAGAGAUAAGAGGGGUGGAAGGUUAAAAAUAGUGAAAAUGAGAUAGAAUGAAUAGGUUGUAGGUCCCUGUAAAGUUGAAGAAGUAUUAUUAUGCAGUACUCGUUAUUGAAAUGAGGUCACUAUGCUUAAGGCACAGUGAAUCCUAGAAAAUAGUGGUUUUGUUUCUCAUUAGGCAAUACAUUCCUCCUUGCUCCAGAAUGCAACAUACAUGUAUCCUUUUCUGUACUAUUUUUUAUUAAGAAUUCAUACUUAAUUCCACUGACUGCCACUCAAUUUUAAUGUACAGUAGGGAAUUCCUGUACUAUGUAUUAUGAAUCCAUUCCUUUGAAUUUCAUUUAUAAUACUUCAUGACUGACACCUGGCUUUCCACCAAGACUCAAUUUUCAUAGCAAGCCUCAUCAUCAUAAGCCCCCAAAUUAACAGGAUGAGGAGGAAGAAUUGGCAGGCUAAAGAAGAUGAUUAUAUCAAUUAAUGCAGAAAAAGCAUUUGAUAAAAUCCAAUAUUCAUUUGUAAUUAAAAACUCUCAGCAAGUUAGGGAUAGGAAUUACUUCAACUUAAUGAAGAGUGUCUUUAAAAACCUUAUUUUCAUCAGUUAUAACAAAUGUACCACUCUGGUGGUGAAUGUUGCUAAGGAGGGAAGCUAUACAUGUGUGGGGAAAGGAGAUGUGUGAGCAAUUUCUGUACCUUCUACUCAAUCUUCUGUGAG
ensembl:lncRNA TRHDE-AS1 TRHDE antisense RNA 1